rnacentral:rRNA from 1 species
AUUGAACGCUGGCGGCAGGCCUAACACAUGCAAGUCGAGCGGAUGAAGGGAGCUUGCUCCUGGAUUCAGCGGCGGACGGGUGAGUAAUGCCUAGGAAUCUGCCUGGUAGUGGGGGAUAACGUCCGGAAACGGGCGCUAAUACCGCAUACGUCCUGAGGGAGAAAGUGGGGGAUCUUCGGACCUCACGCUAUCAGAUGAGCCUAGGUCGGAUUAGCUAGUUGGUGGGGUAAAGGCCUACCAAGGCGGCGAUCCGUAACUGGUCUGAGAGGAUGAUCAGUCACACUGGAACUGAGACACGGUCCAGACUCCUACGGGAGGCAGCAGUGGGGAAUAUUGGACAAUGGGCGAAAGCCUGAUCCAGCCAUGCCGCGUGUGUGAAGAAGGUCUUCGGAUUGUAAAGCACUUUAAGUUGGGAGGAAGGGCAGUAAGUUAAUACCUUGCUGUUUUGACGUUACCAACAGAAUAAGCACCGGUUAACUUCGUG